GGCGCGGAGCGGCCAGCCCGACACCCCGCGCAGCCCGCCCGGCGUGCCCGCGGCCAUGGAGCAGGACAAGUACCUGCCCGAGCUGAUGGCCGAGAAGGACAGCCUGGAUCCCUGCUUUGUUCACGCCAUGCGCCUCCUGGAAGACGAAAUGGAAAAAUUUCAGGGUUCAGAAGGCAAGAAGGAAGAGGAAGAAAAGAAAUAUCUUGAUGUUAUCAGCAACAAAAACAUAAAGCUGUCAGAGAGAGUUCUGAUCCCUGUCAAGCAAUAUCCAAAGUUCAAUUUUGUUGGGAAAUUGCUUGGACCAAGAGGAAACUCUUUAAAGAGGUUACAAGAAGAAACAGGUGCGAAAAUGUCCAUCCUGGGAAAAGGAUCCAUGAGGGAUAAAGCUAAGGAGGAAGAACUAAGGAAAAGUGGAGAAGCCAAAUACGCACACUUGAGUGAUGAGCUCCAUGUAUUAAUUGAAGUGUUUGCUCCACCUGGGGAGGCGUAUUCUCGUAUGAGUCAUGCCUUGGAAGAAAUAAAAAAAUUCCUGGUUCCUGAUUAUAAUGAUGAAAUUCGCCAGGAGCAGCUGAGAGAACUUUCGUAUCUGAAUGGUUCUGAGGAUUCAUCGCGUGGACGGGGCAUUCGAGGAAGAGGGAUCCGUGUGCCACCUGCAGCUCCUUCAAGGGGCCGGGGGGGUGCCAUUCCUCCCCCGCUGCCUGGACGAGGUGCCCAAGCACCCCGAGGAGCGCCGGUGACGCGUGGAGCGCUCCCUGUCCCACCGGUGGCCAGGGGCGUUCCCACCCCUCGGGCCAGGGGAGCCCCGUCCGUGCCGGGUUACAGACCACCCCCACCGCCCGCACACGAGGCCUACGAGGACUAUGGAUAUGAUGAUGGAUAUGGGGGUGAAUACGAUGAUCCAAGCUAUGAGGCAUAUGAUAACAGUUAUGCCACCCAAACACAAAGUGUGCCUGAAUAUUAUGACUAUGGUCACGGAACAAGUGAAGAGGCUUAUGACAGCUACGCACAAGAAGAAUGGGCCACGACCCGUUCCAGCCUAAAGGCACCACCUCCAAGGUCAGCCAGAGGGGGUUACAGGGAACACCCCUAUGGUAGAUAUUGAAGGUCCUCCUCAUCUGUGACCUCAUCUCAAAGACAAUUAAUAGCCUGUGGUCUCCACAUAAACAGCAACAAGACAAGGACUCACAGGCACUGGACAGCUAAGCAGCAGAUCUGCUUGGAAGUGGUCAGAUUUUUGGAGCCUUAGGGAAGUACUGUACCUUUUGAAUGGUGUUCAGGGAAUUGAGAGUGCUCAACAUCAUUUGCAAUAAAUCACUGGCUUCUGAAGGACUGAGCCUCAGGUUGGGACUCUGCACAGCCCUGAGUUCUGGACCUACCAUUACCACCCUCUCUAGGAUAUUCCGCCACUCUGACUUACAGUGAUCUUCAGUCUAUCAGAUAGGGAGAAUUAAAUGUUGGAGAAUGCUCAGCCUGAAGCUAUUAGACGUAAGACACUGUGGACCAUACUAGUAAUGAUGAAAGCUCUCAGUUGCUCCCAGACCUUGCUGGUACAGAGUACUUCAUUAUGUGCACGAACAGAAAUGCUUAAAUGGAUGAAGCAGCUAUUUACGUCUGAUAGGAGCUAAGUGGGACAUUAAAUUAAUGCCAAACAAAGACUCUUUGGAAAUGCCUCCCUCCCACACAGCUGCAGUUUCCUGUCCUGUUACCUACCUUUGCUAAUCAUAGCUCCUGUGGAGUUGAUAUGAGAUUUGUACAGAGGUUUUUGCAACCUGAAAAUGCCAGCCUUCAUGGGACUGUGAAGAAAAUUAAGAAGAUGGAACCAGCAUACAAUCUCUUUCUUAGAAUUUCUACUUGCCCUAAGUCCCAGAAAUAUAUUCUGUAAUAUUCUGUUUAGCAUUAUCACAAAUACACUUUUGAGUAAAAAAAUACUUAUUUUAUAGACACUUGUGAACUAUUGAAAAUCAUUCAGCUAAUCCCAAUAUCUGUGGAUUCAACUGGAAGAAUGAGGUUAGUGAGACUUUGAUCAAGAAAAAAACCCCUAAUGAACAGUAAUUUGAAACACAGCAUUUGGAAAGGUCAGAAUGGUACAUUACAUCCUUAUUAUCCAAAAGAACAGAUGAGUUUAAUAUCCUGGCAGCAUUUUCCUGUGAAGAAGAUAUUAAACAAGAACUGAAAAUGGCACAAGGUUCUUGCUUCCUUUUCUAUGACAAAGAUUGUAACAAGAUGAUGGAACUACACAGAAUAAAUCCCUUUCUGCUUUAAUGGUC